rnacentral:tRNA from 1 species
GCGCCCGUAGCUCAGCCGGAUAGAGCAUCAGAUUCCUAAUCUGGGGGUCACAGGUUCGAGUCCUGUCGGGCGCGCCA